CAGCUGCAGCUGUACUGGGCCAUGACUCACGUUCGAGCUCUGUAAGAUCUGUGCUGAGCCAACAAGGACGUGAAGAUCGAGCCCUGUGGGCACCUGCUGUGUAGCCGCUGCCUGGCCACCUGGCAGCAAUCAGACAGCCAGACCUGCCCCUUCUGCCGAAGCCAGAUCAAGGGCCGAGAGGUCGUGAGUAUCCAUCGCUCCCAAGGGAGGCCAGCGGAAGCCAGGGCCACUGCUGAGGACUCAGGGAGCAGCGAUGGCCAGGAAAACGGCGAGGAAGAGCUGGGGCAGGUGGUCCCCUCAGCCCCCCCACUGCCCCCUCACCCGGACCUGCCCCCUCACCUGAAUCCGCCCCCUCGCCUGGAUCUGCCUCCUGAGCAUCCCAGAAGUAAAGGCCAGCUGAAGGUGGUCGACGCUCAGCCGCUGA